AGUUCAUGCAUUGAGGACUGGAGCAGCUGCUAUGAAAGCUAUGCAGAAAGCAACUAAUAUUGACGAUGUCGACAAGACAAUGGAUGAGAUCAAUGAGCAAACACAAAACAUGAAAGAAAUUCAAAACGCACUGGCAAAUCCUAUUGGCUAUGACUUUGAUGAGGAUGAAUUGGAGGCUGAA